GGGGCUGCUGUGCUGCGCCCGAGCACGUACCGGGGCGUGGCCUGCAGCGCGGCGGGCGGGGUUUGGGGAAGUUUCUCCCGGCGGCUUGUGUUUCGCAUCCUCAUCAUGUAGUACCAGCGGCACCACGGACUUUAGGGGUGGUCGGUCCCCUCCGCAUCCUUGUUAUUUUCCCCGCUGAGGGGGCUGUCUGAUCACUACUGCUCUCAGGCACCUGUCUUUCCUCUCCGUCCCGGGAUGGAUCCGAGACAAGGGAAUAAAGGAAAUUAAAUAGUACGAGGAGAUCGGGUGUCUGGGCAGCGUCUUGGAUAAAACCGUCCACUACAGGCUCAUUACGCCCCUGUAAAACAACUCACCAGCAUCCAGAAGUUUCCUCACACGCAAAUAGCUGAUGGUGAGCCUCAUAACAGAAGCCUUAUCGAGAUGCGAGCUCACAUUAUGGGGAAGUGGCAACUGAUGAGCAAGUUCAUAGAAAACUUCAGACUCUUUACUUCGCCGAGAUCUCGCUGCAUCUCUAGACUUUUCUUUUCGACGUUCAGAACUUAUCCUAUUGAGCAAAAAAAGGAGGACAGAAAAAGAAAAUUUAUAUAAGUUAGCUUGCCUUUGCUUGGAUAAAACUAAUUUUACAUUUUUCUGCUUUCCAUAAAACAAUGUGAAGAUGCCAUGUAAUUAUAUAGAGAUUGGUCUACUACAUGAAUGUGUAAAGUAAGAAUGUAGGAGACAGAUACACAAAUUUCUGGAUUACUGAAGACAUAGGGAACUCUAACAAAGAAGUCCAAGAUGGAGCUUUAAACCUGUCUGAAACAGGUAUUUCCUUCCUGGCAUAUCAAAUUAGAGAGGAUAUUUUGUUUUAGCCAAAGUCUUAAAAGUAGCCUGUGUAUGUGCACCCUCAUAGCCAUUCAGAAGUAGUUUCAACAUAAAGAAAGCACCAUUAAGUCUAAAGAAACUAAAGCUGUACAUAUUAACUUGAAAACAGGAGUUGUUAAGCAGGCAGAACAGUUACAGCUACAAACUGAUUUUUGACUUGUUUCUUUGGACUCUGAUAUUUUCCCAACUUCUUCUACCCUACCACAUGAGCAAUACUGACUAUAAGCUAAAGAAAUCUAUAUUAGCAGCUAUAAUAAGUUACCAUUUUCAGGUUGCUUAUUCCCUUAGCAGCCUCUUUAGCAGCCCCUUUUCUUUACUGGCACAAGUACCAAAUAAAGGCAGGAGUAUAGAAGAGAAAAAAAAGAUGUGACACAAUACUAAGAAUUGAAAGAAACAGGUUAAUAAACAUUAACAAAGGUGUCAAAACAAGGAUAUAUCUUUAGGGAACUUUUCCAAGAAUAAAGUCAGAAAGAUUUUCCUAAGCAGAGACAUUCACCUUCCUUUGCUUGACUGUGUAGAAACAUCUAUUCCUCCUGACGCAGCUGGAGGAGGUAAACAAGGCUAACCCUGGUUCUGUCCUUAGCUUCUUUAAGAGCUGUUGUUUAUUAAAACCUACUAUGUGCCAAAUGUUACCCCGUACCAGGUGCCUAGUUCUCUCAAAAUUUGUAAAUAGGGUAAAUAUUAUCCCUUUUUACAGAUGAGGUUAUACAGUAGGCUAAAAACAGCCAUUAGCAGACGGGGUUUGAACACAAGGUGUUUUUUUCACUCCAAAGUCUGUUUGCUCUUCCAGUGUUUUAUCUUAAGGAAGAAUGCUGCUUCUACCUCAAAUACUCAGCAUGCUCCUAUGACUUUCAACCUAAUUCUGUUAAGUCAAUUAUUUAUUAAGUGUUGAAAACGGCUGUUACCAUUUAUUAAGCACUUAGCACUAUGCUAACGACUUUGUCAGCAUUAUAUCACUUAAUCCUCCUCACAUCCUAUGAAUGAAGCACAUAAUUGUAUCUACCUCAAAUCUCUCCUCCCUCCAAAUGAUCUGCAAAACUGCAAGGUUCAAUCACAGAAGCAACACUCUCAAAAAAACAGGCAGGGUUCUCAGCACAUGCUCCCAUUAUGUUGAGUAAUAGUUGUAUUGUGCAACAGUGAUAAUCUAGUUUUAACACUUAAAUUUGUGUGUGUAUCUGACUUUUAUACAUUAAUAAGGAAUGUGAAUAUUUGCUGUUGUUAGUAACUGAACUUUGAUACAAAUUUUUCAACUCAAGCAUCUAGAUCAAUUUUACUUGAGUAUUUUGAGAUUUAAGGUAAGCUAUUAAAAACUAUUACUAUUUAGAACUAGCGAUCUAUGUGAAUCAAGAUUUUCUUAAUGACAUAUAAUAUUUUUAAGUUUAUUUAUUUUGGGGGGGGGGGUGGACAGAGAGACAGGAAGAGAGAGAAUCCCAAGCAGGCUCUACACUGUCAAAUGUGCAGCCCGACAUGGGGCUCGAACUCACGGGCCGUGAGAUCAUGACCUGAACCAAAAUCAAGAGUCAGACGCUUAACCAACUGAGCCACCCAGGCACCCCAAUGCUGUAUAAUUUUUAAAAAACAUGAAAAUAAAUUAGACUCUGAGGCUACCAUGAAAAUUCAAUAAUGUCAAGUCUGCAACUUCAUUUUUUAUGUGCAUUAGAACUGCCUCACUGUUCUCGUUAACUUUUAAUGAAUGUUUAAAUUUGAACUUAGAAUAAAAUGUAAAAUAAUAAAAGUUUUCAACAUCUAUUUUAUACACAUACCAGAGUUUCUAGGGGAGAGAGAUCCAAUAUGUCCCUAUUGGCUCUAGCAUCUAACUUUCCUCUCUUUCCCUUCUGAAUUGGCAAGUGAGAGGAAGGGAUGAUAGUGGAAAUCAGAUUAGUAUCUGGUUCAAGUAAAGCCAGCAAAAAAAGUGUGAUGACCAACUGACCUGAAUAUUAGUUCAAAUGUCACAAUUAGUCCAGGUGAUCAGAAUUUUAUCAACAACUUUCAUCAAACUUACUAGGCUUCUUUUGUUAAUUACUCAACCAAAUUAAAGCUACCAACAAAUGACUAUCCAAAUUUUUACUUGGUAAAAAAUUUAAAUCCUUUUAUUACCUGCUAUAUGCUUUUAAAGGGUAUCUGAUCUAGCUAACCAUGGUGAUUACACCUUUAGAAACACUUGUAUUGUCCAGAACUCUGAAGAUAAUAUUGUUAAAGAUGUGGCAACUAAAUUUAUAAGACAAAUCCAUAAGAAAUGUGAGCCUGGAUAAAACAUUUAUAGCAUAAUACACUUAAGCAGUGAAGACUAGGAGAGUAAGAAUUUGAGCAUGAGCCAGAAUUCUGGAAGAAAAAUAAGCCUCAAUAAAACAAGUAACAGGGUAUUUCAAGAGUCGACAAACCUAAAUUAGAUGAAGGUGAUGAAAAUCAUUGUGUCCUAUAUUACAUAAUCUAUCUAGACAUAAAACAAUCAGGAGACCUAUAAUAAAGAUUUAAUAUAGGAAUUUAUAUGAUGUUCUUCACACAUGUGACUAUGGGGGCUCUUAAAACAUUUCUUAGCUUAAAGCUAUAACCAACAAAGUUCUUAUGAGUUUCAGCAUCAGCACGGCUCAGCUUCCUGUCUCCUCAGAAGGCUCUUUUUAUCAGGUCAUACCCCACAGAAUUAAAGUACUAGCCAAGAAAUUAUUUCGGGCAAACCACAGCAUCUGGGUCCCACAGAGAUAAAUCCUGUACUAUUUAUUUACUUACUACUUAGAUUGUGAAAUAAAAGUUUUUGUAGAUCAGAAGAAAAUGGGCAGAUUUUCUGCAUGCAAAUAAGGUACUGUAUUUCUCUAAAUUAUCAAUUCCAUCUUUGUUGUUUUUAAUUAAGUACAAAUCAAGUAAAGUUCUGCACUGACAUGUCUGUAUAAAGUGCUAUUUCACAUCUUAGUAGAAAUCAGUUAAGAGUAUAGUAAAAAAAUCUAUCUUUUCAAUAGUUUGCUUACCCACCUCUAUGAUUGUUUUAGGACUAACAUUUGAGGAAAAUAGCAAAAUAAGUUGAUCUUUGUGGUACUGUAGUUUUCACACACUUACUAUUUCAUCAUUAUUUAACAUACAGCACUGGACAAGAAGCUAACUAAAUUAUAUCUUGAAAUUAUUUUGUAUAGAAAAUACACUUAGGAAAAUGAGCCGCUGUCACUAAACUUCUUGUAUACAAAGUUGAAUGGCAAUAGCCAUUUUACAGAGAAUGCUUAGUAUUCUUUAGAUUAACAAGAACACAAAAUAAUUGCAGAUAUUUUAAUUCAUCUCUUUUUGUUGUCUAAUUAUAAAAGAAAAGCCUAUUAACAUUCCUGAUUAUAAAUACAUGUGACUUUAAGACCUGAAGUUAGAGCCAAUCAUUCAAAACGUUAAGAACUGAUUCAUCUUUUUUUUUUUUUUUUUUACUUUUUUCUUUUUUAACGUUUACUUAUUUUUUGAGAGAGACAGGGCAUGAGCUGGGGAGGGGACAGAGAGGUGGGGCAGUCACAGAUUCUGAAGCAGGCUCCAGGCUCCGAGCUAUCAGCACAGAGCUGGAUGUGGGGCUCGAACUCAUGAGCCACGAGAUCAUGACCUGAGCUGAAGUCGGAUGCUUAACCGACUGAGCCACCUAGGCACCCUGAUCCAUCCUAUUUCUAAUAAAGUUAAUGUAUACAUUUUUUUUAAAAAAGUCUCUCAAUCUAUUAUUUGCUGCUUUAAAAUCUCUUUCUGGCUUUGAAGGUACAAGUUGUUGUUUUCCACUUCUUAUGUUGGUAUUUCUACAGGACAGAACUUCUGAAGUGAAAUUCCAUGAUCUAAAGGAUGUGGCAUUUAAAUGUACCUUUCCAAAAAGGUCUGUAACUAUUUUUGUCUCUGCAAAUUCAUGAAUGUGUUUAUCUAUUUCUCCACGCACUCUGCUGUAAUAUAUAUAUUAUGGGUCUUUUUUACCUUUUUAAUUUUUGUGAAGCUGAUAGGUGAAAAAUUGUACAUCUCACUGUUUUAACUGCCCUGCACUUCUUAAAAUCUCAGGCCAGAGGAAAUUCCAAGGAAAUUUUCAUGUUCUUAGUUGGCAUUUUGGCCUGCAGCUUUAAUCCAAACUCCUAUACAAGGUGAUUAUACUAUGUACACAGUGGUACUCUAAACAUUUCUCAUCAAUUAACUUAAUUUUUAUUAUCAUCACCAUGUUACAAAUAAGGAACCAGGUUAAAUAACUUACCCAAGUUUAUAGAGUUAAUAAGUGGCACAGCUUUAUUCAAACUCAAGCAGUCUGGCUCUAAAAACUAUGCUGUUAACAACAGACUAUGCUACCUCUCAGAAAUUCAAUUCUAAUUACUAAGGUAAGUAUACAUAUAUCCAGGCAUUAUAAAGUUCAAAAUUUGUCUACACAUCUCCCAAGACAUAAAGGAGAGGUAGAGGGGUUGGCUCUGGAAUUUAGGACUUGACUCUAAGCCAUUCAGAAGCACUCAUGGGCAGGCUCUUUCCUGGUAUCCGCUUAUAAAUCCAAAAUCCUAAUUCAAAAGCACCUACAAUGGCAAUGCUCUGGGCUCCACUGUCCACCAGCUCUUCAAAGCAAUACAGCCUUUAGUGGAUACUGCCAACCACUAAGGGGAGAGAAUCAGAGGACAGUAAUUCAAUCUACCUCAUAUAAUCCCACCAGACUGUACUCAAACAUCAGCUCACUAUUGCUGGUGUUUUAUUUGCUCCACAUCUGGAUCCCCAAAGUAAAACCAAUCUGCAUACUCACUUCAAAGCUGGAUAAGCAUAAGCUAAAUUGCCAAGAUAACUAAUCACACAAAGUAAUGUAAGAGAAAAAAGACGAAGAAAAUCUUCCCCUUCUACCAUUUAUUGAGCACUUAAUGUGUAUCAGGCACUAUGUUAAACACUUUCAUGUAUUAGCUCAGUUCAUGAAAACAACUCUAUAAAGAACCAAAACACAAGAUGGGAAGUGGACUUCCUGAACCUCAGAAUAACUUCUUUCAUUCAAGAAAUAUUUGUUACAUAAAUAUUUAUUGAGCAUUUACCAUGCACUGUUCAAUUUAUAAGGAAUAUAGUGACAAGCAGGAUAGCCUCCCACUUAGCCUACUGUAGAAAUAGUUACCUAGUGCUAUAUUUUCAAAUGCUGGUCUAGGUGCAUCAUAAUUAUUUAGGGGCAUUCAACAUUCCAAACUUCUGGGCUCCACCUUCGUAAAUUCUGGUUCAGUAGAUCUGAAGCAGGGCCCAAAAUUCUGGGUUUGUAAAACUCCCAAGAUGCAUAUGAUAUACAGUUAGAUCUGGGAACCAUUGACUGAACUAUUUCACUAUUACUGCGCUUUAAUUUCACCCAAAUAUCUACCCAAUUAUCAUUCCACAGUCAGAAAUCUCAUAUUAUGCCCUGCUUAAAAUCCCAUCAAAUGUACACAGGACAAAAUCUAUUUUCUAAAGAAACCCUCCCUUAGCUAGCUCCCUGUCCAUCUCUUCAUCCUCAUUAUUCCCUAUUCCUUUGGUCACACUGCAGUUACUCAAAAACAUAUUUCAUUCCUUUCUCGCUCAGUCUGUCUCAGCCUGAGGUACCCUUCUCAGUAUAUGACUUGGCAAAUUUAUGUGAGAAACUUUUAAGAUUCAACCCAGCAUUAUUUUGUCUCUACUCUGUCUUCCAAAACUGUUCUUCUCCCCUAAAUUUCACCACUCUGGUUAUUUUGCUACAUACACAUGACCUUUGAACAGCACAGAUCUGAAAUGUGUAGAUCCACUUAUAUACGGAAUUUUUUUUGAUAAAUGCAAUAUAGUACUAUAAAUGUUAUUUUCUCUUUAUGAUUUUCUUAACACCAUUUUCUUUUCUCUAAUUUGCUUUAUUGUAAGAAUACAGUAUAUAAAACAUAUAUAAAAUAUGUGUUAAUAGUUAUCGGUAAGGCUUCCAGUUAACAGUCAAGUUUUGAGGGGAAGGCAAUUAGUCACAUUUCUGGGGGAGUCAAAAGUUAUAUAUACGUGGAUUUUCAACUGUGCAGGGGGUCAGUGCCCCUAACCACCUGCAUUGCUGAAGGGUUAACUGUACUUAUCUUCCUCUACAAUCCUCAAAGCUUCUUGGAGGCAGGAAACUGCCUCAUUCAUCUUUACCUUUGUAUUCUUAGUAGAGAUGUGUGUAAGUUCCACUUGGCUUUAGUACUUAGCCCUAAUCUAUUUGACUUUGACUUCAGCCCAUGGAAGGCUGACUACCCCACCCUUCAACAUUUGUUUUAGGAUCCCUGAAUAUGUGCUUCAUCAGUGCUCCCGUAAUCCUACAGGUCAUGAUCAUAAUUAAACAGAAUAAUAAUGUUAGUACUAUGAACAAAGCAUACAAUUUGGAUUUACCAUGAUUAUAUGGAUAUGCACUUUCAAGUGUAAGUAAGCAUUUGGUGGGUAUACUAGAUGUAAGUUAGAAAAGCUACUGAUUAAAAAAAAAAAAAAAUCACCUAGCAGCCUAACAGUGAGUGGCACCAAUACUAUAUCACCAAAGAGAGAGCAAGUGAUACCGCCAGAGAAGAGAUCUGGAGGCAAAGGGAGAAGGCAGAGAAACUAGAAUACCAAUUUAUUAAAAAGAGGCUAAAGAUUUAAGAUUAUUUCCCUUAUCACUCUAAUCUAUACUCUAAUGUCUUUUACUUUUUAUUCCUAAACUGAUGUGGUCAGGUAAAUGCAUGAGUUGUAGUUAAUGCUAUUAAUCAAUUAAAUCAACACCUUUAUAAUUAUGUCUUCCUGGCACAGCUGGAAACACAACAUUUGUCUGUUUUCUAAAAUUGUUUUCAAGAAGUGUUGUAAUUUUCAUAAGACAUGAAAAUUUUUAUUAAGUUUAUUUCUAAUCUUAUUGGCUUUAUUUUCAAGAGGAGGUUACCCCUAGACAAGCAUAUUUAUUACUUCGAGUAUUCUUACAAUUAAUAAGAUUUGUUGUUCUAUUUUCUACCUGGUAAUUGCUGCAAAACCCUAAUACUUCAAACAGAUAAUGUUUAAAAAUAUAUAUCCUUACUUAAUGGAAAAAAACUGCAAACAGUGACAUUUAAAAUUAAACAUGAAUUACAUUUUCAGGACAGCUAGUUAUUAUUUAUAACUAUUUUCUCCAGGAAAAUGUCUUCUAACUUCUAAUAAACUUAAAAAUGAACCUUUAGGAUAUUCAUGUUAAAGAAUAUUAUUCAUUUAUUCAACAAGUAUUUAUUAGUCAUCUCCAUUGAGCCAUAUACUGUUCUCAGCAAGACUGAUUAACAAAACAGACCAUGUUACUUGUCCCAUGGAGCUUACAUUCUAGGACAAAUAUACCAUUAUGUUUCUUGUCUUUAUUCAGUAGCAGUUAGUAAGUCAAUCCCUAACUGACACAUUUGCCCUAGGAAAAAUCUUUCCAUAAAAUCAAGUAACAAAAAUUAAAGACACAAGAAAAAAGUCUACAAAAAUUAAUCUGUGCUUAUAGAAGAUGUUACAGUAUAUUGUGAAGAGGGUAUACAACAAAAUUUGAAUAUGAAUCCAUUUUUCUCUGUGUAUAAUACCUGUGUACAUAUGUAAACCAGUAUGUAUAUAUGUACAUAUAUACAUACAGACAUGUAACUUACAAAUGCUUAGAUAAAAGCUGAAAAACACAAUAUACAGUUAGCAAAUUCAUAGUUUCAAGAUGGCAAGAUCCCAGAAUAUUUUGUACUUCAAAAUUCAUCGGUGAACUGAUACUAUUAUGUACCUGCAUUUGUCAGAAAAGUCUGAAAGAAGUAGUCAACUCACGUUUCAAUUUGUUUUCCAGAAAGACUAAUUAGAAAGGAGUUAAAUGUUUUCUUCAUUUUGGAAAUGAAGCAGGAACGAUCAUAUUUCUUUCAGAGAAACAGAAAGUGGUGACUGAGUAAGCAAUAUAAUUCAAUAUUUUCAGUCUCUCGUUCUCAUCUAAUUAUUGGCUUUUAAAUUUGGCAUUUCAUAAUUAAUCUGAAAUUAUAAAAUCAAGUGAAAUGGUUUCCAAAGAAAAAUACUCAGUAUACACAUACUUAUUUGAGUUUUGAAAGGAACUUAAAUUUCUUGGUUUAAGUGUUUACUAUCUUACUAGCUUGGCAAUAUCUUGUAAAUAUCCACAAUUAGGGAAAAGAUAGAUUAUUCUCCUUCCAAUAACCUCACAGAAAUGCUUAAUACUCGAUUUUCUAAUGCUGCAGUAAAAUAAACAGGGAAGAAAGAUUUACUGUUUUAAAUUCAGGGUACAUUCUGAAAAAAAAAUCUGUAUCACAUCUGAGGUAGCAUUAAUGUGAAAAUGUUCUAUUUAUACAUUAAAUAAACUUAUUAAUUAGCUAACAGAUUUACAUUUGUUGACAAUAUUAUGUACUAAAGUUCUGUCUGUAAAAGGAAUAUGCUUUUGUUUUUAGAUUAUUCCUAACUAGUGAUUUACAUCAUCUCUCUCCUGGUUCAGAAUUGGUAUUGGGCCUCUCAAAAAAGUCUUUGAUCCUCUGCUACAUAUGAAGUACUAGAUAUAUAAAACCAAAAAUGUGUAUGUGAAGGUAUUACUCUAAUUUUAGCUUGUAUCACAAUCAACUGGCAGGAUUCUGGAAACAGAUUAUUGGGCCUUACCCAGGGUUUUUUUAUCCAGGAGAGCUGGAUGGGGCCUGAGAAUCUCCAUUUGUAACAAGUUAGCAGGUAGGUACCAAUGAUGCUGCUCUGGAGAAUACUUUGAGCCCCUCUACUCUAAGAAAAUACUUUAUGUGUCUUUCAAAAAUUCCCAGAGAAGUAAAAGACUGUUCAACACCCAAAAAUGGUUAACUUUUUUUUUUUUUUCAAUCUGCCCAAAUGCUUUACAUGUACA